rnacentral:rRNA from 1 species
AACGAACGCUGGCGGCAGGCUUAACACAUGCAAGUCGAGCGCCCCGCAAGGGGAGCGGCAGACGGGUGAGUAACGCGUGGGAAUCUACCCAUCUCUACGGAAUAACGCAUGGAAACGUGUGCUAAUACCGUAUACGUCCUUCGGGAGAAAGAUUUAUCGGAGAUGGAUGAGCCCGCGUUGGAUUAGCUAGUUGGUGGGGUAAAGGCCUACCAAGGCGACGAUCCAUAGCUGGUCUGAGCGGAUGAUCAGCCACACGGGGAGUGAGACACGGCCCAGACUCCAACGGGAGGCGGCAGUGGGGAAUAUUGGACAAUGGGCGCAAGCCUGAUCCAGCCAUGCCGCGUGAGUGAUGAAGGCCCUAGGGUUGUAAAGCUCUUUCACCGGUGAAGAUAAUGACGGUAACCGGAGAAGAAGCCCCGGCUAACUUCGUGCCAGCCGCCGCCGUAAGAC